ACGAAGAAUCGUGGGACUAGUUUGUAUCCUCUCGAAACAUCAACAUGCAUGUAUAUUCACGGGGGAGCUGUCCAUGUUGAAUUUUCCUGCUAUGUCUAGUGUUUGUGGUUCUUUCAUCAGUUCAAUGCUUAGACAGCGAUAUUAGAAAUUGAGAUGCUUUUAGGCUUGUGGUUGCGAGACAGUUUGGCCUCUGUUAUGAGGUGGACUCCUGUCUCCUUACGUCGGUGUUCUAAUGAUCUCAUAAUCUGUAGCGGCUGUUUUUCUCCUCAUUGUAAAUUUUGUGAUGAUUUAUGCUUGUGGAACUGAUGCGAUCCUAAUACAUCAUGUGCACAGACGGGUGGCGCAAGAGCUUGGGGUCAAGCUUGGGGAGGAAGUGGGUUAUGCCAUCCGGUUUGAGGAUAGGACUUCGGAGAGGACAAGAAUCAAAUACCUUACUGAUGGUGUACUUCUUCGCGAAAGUUUAUCCAACCUGGAGCUCAGUGAAUAUUCAGUCAUAAUAUUGGAUGAAGCCCAUGAAAUGAGUUUAAAUACAUGAGUUCUAUGUGCGAUUCUUCUACUUUUUCCCGCAUUGAGGGUCUGUUGGCUUUUCCGUGUCAUGUGAAUGGGAUACAUCUUUAGUGUCCAAUUUCUGUAACCCUGUCUGUAUCUGUCUGCUGCUACUGAUCAAGUUUCCUUUUAUAAUACUGGCGAUGUACCUUCAGGGACAUAUUGCUUGCAAUGAUGAAGCGAUUAAUCAAGAUCCGCUCAUCCAAUUUGAGGGUUCUGAUAACUUCGGCUACUCUUGAUGGCAAUAAAGUCUCUAAGUUUUUCUCAGAUUGCCCAGUACUAAAUGUUCCUGGAAAGUUAUAUCCAGUGGAAAUAGUAUACAGCAGAGAGCGUCCUACAAGCUAUCUUGAGUCUUUUUUGAGAACGGCCCUCAACAUACAUCUUCGGGAACCAGAAGGUGAUGUCUUGAUAUUCAUGACUGGACAGGUGAAAUUAAAUUUUGCAUGAUUUUCCC